rnacentral:lncRNA from 1 species
GGGACUUCCUCCAGCAGCUGCCUCUCUCCUCCCCUCGGCGGCGUGACAGCCUCGGCCUGCCGGUCUCCCGGGUGGGCUGGGGGGCGGGCACAGGCACCCCGGCCACUUUGGAGGCUCGGGGAGAGGUUCGUAGAAGAGGCUGAGCGGACGGAGCGGAGGCGGUGCCAGGCGCCAGGCGUCCACCUGCGAGGAAGGCGCAGCGGCCGUGGGAGCCUGGGCGGCGGUGGCGGCAGCAUUGUGCUCCGAGCUGCAGUGAGUGUGUGAGUGUGCAUGUGUGUGUGCCUGUGUGUGCCGAGUCCCUCCAGACCUCACUCCAAUUCCCAUAUUGCUCCCCAGAGCCCUAAUGUGAUUAACUUAAACGGAGGCCUCCUGCUUCCCUGACUGAAGCAGAGACAUCCGUAGGUCUGGCACCCACGUGAGGACACUGAACACAACCUGGACCGGCUGUCCCAACUCACUAACCUCUGACCCUGGCCACACCCCAACGACUCUGCCAGAAUCUCUCUCUAGCCAAUUCUCUGAGCAUCCAAACGCCCCCACAAGUUAGAAGGGCCCCUGCCUCAGAGGUGAACCAGCUUAGAUUGAUGAGCUGGGGACAGGCCACCCACAGCUACAGCUGAACCUCCCGCUCAGGGUUCAGGGUGCACCAGGUCUCAUCGCAUCCUGCCCCAGGGCCACCACUGGAGGCUGGGGACCCUUUUAUGUCUUGGCUGUGUGCUCAGAGGAUAGGCGCAGUGGAUGGGGAGCUCUCAGGAAUAUUGUUUGGGGUCAGUCUACUGUGACCCUGGAACUAGGGAGCAGGAGGAAGAGGGAGGCCAGAAGGAGGUGCUGGCCUCUGGAGAAAAGGGGAAAGACAGAACCAGAGAGACAAAGGCAGAGGGAGACCCACAGACCGACUCCAGGGAGGUGGAGAGGGAGCCGUGAGCUUUGCCCCUCUUCUGUCGCUGCAGAGAAACUGGGAGGGGAGCCAGCCAGCCAAGCCUAGAAAGAAAGGGGGUGGGAGAGCUGUGGCUGCUUGCAAGCAGGACCCUGCCAGGGCCUCUUCCACAGCAACGGGGCGCGGGAGCGCCAGCCAGGACCCCGCCCCCACCCCCCACCGCCUGCACUCCCAGGGUUCCCUGGACGUCAUCUCAGGGCCGUUUUGUCCUGGCAACGCUGUCUCUCUGGCCCCUUCCUCGGAGGAGGAUAAGCACACAGAGACAGCACUGCAGGGGCUCCAGGGAGGGUCUCCUUCCCAACAGCCAGGUCACUCCUGCCUCCAAGCUCUCCCAGAUUUCUCAGGCCCUGACCCACCCACAUGUCACCCCCUCACCAUGGGACAAGGCAGAGGGGUACAGCGCUUUGGAGGAGGUUGGCAGGAGGAGUGCAGAUGUUAGGACUCUCAGUUCCCAACAGUCCCCAAGCAAGGGGGAUCCCCAUUGCUCCUCCCCCCACCCCCCNCACACACACACACACACACACACACACACACACACACACACACUACCACAAAAGCUCUGGAGGAAAGCUGGGGGGCAUCAGGGAAGUAGGUGGAGAGGUAGCAGGUGAGCCCGCCCCUAGCAGGCCCUGCCUUUGCUCUUGGCCAUGACCUCCAGCGAAGUGCCUGGCACUGCUGAAGUCUGUGCCAGGCCUAAGGAAUGGGGGGGGUUUCCUCCUCUUUGGGGGGCCUGCAGCCUCCACAGCCUCCCCACCCUGGCGCCAGAGGAAGUAGAUGCAGUGUGAGAUGUGAGGGCUUAAUCCACAGCAAGUGGAAGGAAGUUUAAUCAGAAAGAAUCACUGAUUGAAUGUCCUAAACUGAGAGAAGACAGACAGGCUGAGGGGUGACCUGCCUAGACUAAGAGAGGAAUCUUCCUUGGGGGAUUCUUUUUUUUUUUUUAACUGCGAGUCAUUCACUUUAUUAUUAUUUAUUUAUUUAUUUAUUUAUUUAUUUAUUUAUUUUUAGGGCCACACCUGCUGCAUAUGAAAGUUCCCAGAAUAAGGGUCAAAUCAGAACUGCAGCUGCAAGCCUACACCACAGCCACAGCCACGCCAGAUCUGAGCUACAUCCACGCCAAAUCUGAGCCACAUCCACAACCUAUGCCACAGCUUGCAGCAAUGCCGGAUCUGUAUCCCACUGAGCGAGGCCAGGGAUCAAACCCGCAGCCACAUGGCUACCAGUCGGAUUCAAUAACUCCCUGAGCCACAAGGGGAACUCCGUUAGGAGGAUUCUUAAGACUUUUCAGCCCUCAGGAAACGAACUACUGGUCCUUUUAAACCGAAGGAAGGAAGAGAGGGUGGGAAGAAAGAGAAGGAAGUGCUUUCUAGAUUCAGCCCUUCCCUACAAGGAGAACCUAAUGAAAAAGGCUUGGGAUAGAGUCCUUCAUUUCAUCCACCUGCCAGCAGGAGGUGUCCUUGAACCAAUGACCCUCCAGAGAGGAAGGGAAGGGACUGGGGCUGAUGGGGCCAGGAGGCCAGGGGGCCAGGCCUGUCCCUGCCUGGAGCUUCUCCCCAGCUCUGGUCUCGCCACACCCCACCACGCCCCACACAGCUUCACACCCUGUGUCUCAGCUCCUGAAAGUCAAUGACAUCCUGCCCCCUGUGCCAGGCCCAACAGGGCACAGAAAUGUGUCUUUGAGAGUUUGGUGCCUCAGGGGAAGUUACAUGUUCUCAUUCCAUUGUCAUCACCAGAGGAGACCAGAACCCCAAAGAGAGUGGCUACAGCAUCCCCAGAAACUUCUAGAAAGCUUUAGCAAGGAUCCCAAGGCUUCCACGUUCAACACUUAUGGAGGUAGGGAGAGGGUCCUAACCCAGAAGUUGGGCUUUCAAUUUCAAUCUCUUUCUCCUCAAAGCACUCAAAGCACCAGAAACUGCAUCUAGUAGGUUCUCAAACACACCCCAGCCCCAUCUCUCCUUACAGGCCCCCAAGCGUCAAGGACAGAUAUGCAGGAUUCCACAGAAUGGAUCAGAUGCAGAUGCUCAGACAUAAGGAACUGAAGAUAGGGAUGAGCCUGCGCAGGGUCUGGUCCAUCACAGGAGCGUCCGAUCAGACCCAACCUCUCUGUAGUCCCUAAGUGGGUGCCUGACAGCAGUCCCGCAGCUCCUCGCCUCGGCCUCCUCAAUGGAGCUUUUAAAAAGCUGGCCACCAUCCUCGGAGGGUCAACCACUUCUCUGGGGACACUUUGUCCCCGCCCUGUCCAGGCUCCCACAGACCCUCAGGCCUGUGUCCCAACCCUGCCACCCUCCUGGGACCCCUAUCUUCCUCCCUCUGCGUCGCCUCGUCAGCUGGAGUCCAGCUGGCAAGCAGGCUGUGCUGUGGGUCUGGCCAAGGCUUGAAGGAGGAGGAAUUUCUUCUCCACAUCCCGCUCUUGUUCACACAACCCAGAGACCUGGAUUCAGAAUGCAGGCCAGGGAGGAGAUUCCAGAGUCCGGAUCCAGGUGGAAUGGAGGCCACAUUCAAAGAGCGGGGGGUGGAGGGGGGCUGCUCUCCUCCCCACUCCACCCCCACAUAGAAGCAAGAAAAGAACGGAAAACUUCCCAGAGGCAUCCAGCAAAGGUGUCAAGGAAACAAGAGAGCAGGUCACAGCCACCAGCUCCCUGGGGACAGGAUUGCCAGCUCCCAGAGGACCUCGUCCUUCAUGGUUGCACUCCCACCCAGCACCCAGCACCCAGCAUUCAGCACCCAGCACUCAGCACCCAGCACCCAGCACUCAGCAUGGUGCAGGGCCUAUGGUCAAUAAACAUGA